rnacentral:rRNA from 1 species
GUGCCAGCCGCCGCGGUAAUACGGAGGGGGCGAGCGUUAUUCGGAAUUAUUGGGCGUAAAGGGCGCGUAGGCGGCUUGAUAAGUCAAAGGUGAAAUCCCUCGGCUCAACUGAGGAACUGCCUUUGAAACUAUCGAGCUUGAGGCCGGGAGGGGGUAGCGGAAUUCCCAGUGUAGCGGUGAAAUGCGUAGAUACUGGGAGGAACACCGGUGGCGAAGGCGGCUACCUGGACCGGUUCUGACGCUGAGGCGCGAAAGCGUGGGUAGCAAACAGGAUUAGAAACCCGAGUAGUCC